AGCAUUACAAAAAGUGCAUGGAGGAUAGGUUCAAAGAAAUGGUGACAAGUAAAGGUCUUGAAGUUGUUCAAUCUGAGAUCACUGACAUGGAUUGGGAAAGCACUUUCUUCUUGCGCCACUUGCCUGAAUCAAACCUUUAUGAAAUUCCUGAUCUUGAAUAUGAUUACAGGUCAGUCAAAGUUACUGACUCUACUCUUUUUUUUUUCUUCACUUUUUAUGUUUUUCAAGUACUGAAAUUGCUUUGAUACCAGGAAGGUGAUGAAGCAAUUUGCAGUGGAGUUGGAGAAGCUGGCUGAGAAACUUUUGGACAUACUGUGUGAGAAUCUUGGGUUGGAACAGGGUUCCCUGAAGAAAGUGUUUUAUGGUUCCAAAGGGCCAACUUUUGGUACCAAAGUCAGCAACUACCCUCCAUGCCCUAAACCCGACCUAAUCAAGGGGCUAAGGGCUCACACUGAUGCUGGUGGAAUCAUAUUACUCUUCCAAGAUGACAAAGUCAGUGGGCUUCAACUCCUCAAGGAUGACCAAUGGAUUGAUGUCCCUCCAUUGAAACACUCCAUUGUCAUCAACCUUGGUGA
rnacentral:lncRNA from 1 species